GCAGACUAAGACAUUGUGAAAUUGUUCCAUAAGGUUUAUGGCUGAUUAACAUUUGGCCUGCUGAUCGUUAAAUAUUUAUAUUACCGUGGUUUUCUUGCGCCUUUAGCUGAAAUAGUCAGGAUAAUCCGUUCACUAGGAGGGGCGUCUGUUGGUGACUGUUUACAACGUACUUGGAAAUCAGUUUUUUCGAUCAAAGUUAUGGCCCUUGUAAACUGGGAAGAAAACCAAAAAAAGGAUCGAUACAAAAACAUGGUCUUCCGCAUUCAAUAAUUACUACAACCGUGUUUGAUAUAGGGUAUUCAAACCGGUUCCCGUAAGCCAAACAAAUUUUAGAUGGAAAAUGAUACAAGGAAAAUAAUGAAGGGAAUGCCAGAUAAAUACCGAAGCAAAUGUUUAGCAUAAAAUCAAGAUAAAAUCGAUGUCGACAACGAACCAAGAAAUGGUCCGCCAGCGGGAAUUCAGUAGUUUAUCACUGGUAACUGGUAAGUUUAAAAUUUUAUUCCUUUUCGUCAGAAAUGUUAGUAUCUUUCUAAUCCCAUGUUAUUUCUACCGGAUAAGGAAAUGAGAGAGAAUCGGCUCUUUUUUCCUAAUUGAAAUUUAUCCAUAUGGAUGUCUUCUUAAAACAAAAAUUCAACCUAGAGUUCUUGGAAAUCGAAAUUUCCAAAAUCAAGAAAAAUUACAAUGCAACUUGAAUGAAACUAAAGCUAUUCCAAUCCAGGACAGGAUCAGUUUCGACUUUCAAAUGGUUUGCCAGUCACUGUUUGAUGGUCUGUUUGAGAGCCCACACCGUCUAUUUCAGUGCAGCCAACAACGUCGAUUGCAGUGCAGCCAACACCGUCGAUUGCAGUGCAGCGAACACCGUCGAUUGCAGUGCAGCCAACAACGUCGAUUGCAGUGCAGCCAACACCGUCGAUUUUAGUGCAGCCAACACCGUCGAUUACAGUGCAGCCAACACCACAAGAAUCAUACAAGGAAAUUCUUUACUGAUACACCUGUUAUCCGGUGGCUAGCGUUUGAUGUGUAUCAUUUGCGUAUCAUGUAUGCGUAUUUGUAGAAUGAGAACUAUUUGUAUGU